GUUCCUGGCUCAGGACGAACGCUGGCGGCGCGCCUAACACAUGCAAGUCGAACGAGCGAGAGAGAGCUUGCUUUCUCAAGCGAGUGGCGAACGGGUGAGUAACGCGUGAGGAACCUGCCUCAAAGAGGGGGACAACAGUUGGGAAACGACUGCUAAUACCGCAUAAGCCCACGACCCGGCAUCGGGUAGAGGGAAAAGGAGCAAUCCGCUUUGAGAUGGCCUCGCGUCCGAUUAGCUAGUUGGUGAGG
rnacentral:rRNA from 1 species